CCUACGGGGGGCAGCAGUGGGGAAUAUUGCGCAAUGGGGGGAACCCUGACGCAGCAACGCCGCGUGCAGGAAGAAGGUCUUCGGAUUGUAAACUGUUGUCGCAGGGGAAGAAGACAGUGACGGUACCCUGUGAGAAAGUCACGGCUAACUACGUGCCAGCAGCCGCGGUAAUACGUAGGGUGCAAGCGUUACUCGGAAUCACUGGGCGUAAAGAGCGCGUAGGCGGGAUAGCAAGUCAGAUGUGAAAUCCUAUGGCUUAACCAUAGAACUGCAUUUGAAACUGUUAUUCUAGAGUA
rnacentral:rRNA from 1 species